CAGAACAUAGCUAAAUUCAUAGCCCUUCUCUUACACCGAAAAGUUGCCCGCGCAAAUCGGGCUGUUCUGA
rnacentral:tRNA from 1 species